CUUAUCUAGGUUCUGGGAUCCUAACUUCUCUCAGCCUCAUCUUCGUCCACUGCCAGGUGGAGUUUCACUCUUGUUGCCCAGGCUGGAGUGCAAUGGAGUGAUCUCAGCUCACCUCACCUCAACCUCCGUCUCCAUGGUUCAAGCGAUUGUCCUGCCUCAGCCUCCCGAGUAGCUGGGAUUACAGGCAUGCAUCACCACGCCUGGCUAAUUGUUGUAUUUUUAGUAGAGACAGGGUUUCUCCAUGUUGGUCAGGUGGGUCUUGAACUCCCAAUCUCAGGUGAUCUGCCCGCCUCAGCCUCCCAAAGUGCUGGGAUUACAGGCAUGAGCCACCAUGCCUGGCCACAUCUGCAGUUUUCUAUACUCAAUAUCCUAUUUCACACUCUAUGCCUUUAUAAAUGCUGUUCCCUCUACCUGGAUUGCCUUUCUUCAGCUGGCUUGCCCAGAAAAUCCUCGGUCAUCCCAGCUCACAGAUCUCUUCCUCUGUGUUUGAAUAGAGUUAAUCCUAUGCUCCUUUCUGCUGCCACCAAAAUUUGCAUAUUGCUUACUCAUGACUCUCAGCACUUGGUUUUUACAGGUCUGAUAUCCACACUUGGUUUGUGGGCAAGAACUCUUCUAUUACUUCCUUUUUUCUAAGUGUAAUACAAUGCAUGGUGCACAUAGUAGGCACCUUUGGGCUUCCCCUCCACCACCCAGUUUUGGGUCCUACAUAAUAAAUGCGUGUAUGCUAGAAAGAUGAAAGAAUAGCUGGGGUUUCAACUCUGAGGCCAGGAUGGGAGUCAAAGGAAGGACAUAAUGGAAUUUCUUCACUGACAUUUGCUGUAGAUUGAUUGCAUGGAUUGAUCCCAAUUCAUGGCCUCCCUGUAUCCACACUUUUUGCAAUGAGACUUUGAAGCACCUCCCAUCAAGAAAUGGAGUCUAUUUCCCCACUAUGAAUCUAAGCUUCUCUUGUGACUUUGACCAAUAGAAUGUGAUGGAAGUGAUGGCAUGCAGGUCCCAGUCCUUACAACCUUUCUCUCACUCUCUUGGAACUCUGCCCAGCUGCCAUGUGAACAAGCCCAAGCUACUCUGUUGGAGGAUGAGAGACAUGUGGGUCAGAGACCUGCUGUCCUAGCUGAAUCCAUUCCAGACCAGCCCAAUCUAGCCAAUCUGCAACCCAAGUUUAGCCAGUCAAUUCCCAGAUAAACAGAACCAUCAAGCAGACCUAAGAACUUGUGAGCUGAGUAAAUCCCUGUUGUUCCAAGCCAUUGAUUUUUUGGGGGUGGGGCGGGGGGUGGUUUGUUAUGCAGCUAUAACAAAUACAUGAUCCAAUAUGAGCAGAAACCCAUUAUGCUGUUACUUAAUAAUUAACUGUGACCCUUGAUUGGAAAGAAGUUCCGAAUGGGGCAGUCAUUCUAGGGCCUUUAAUUUUCCUACUGGUAAAAUAAGGAGAGAAGGAGAAGAAAACAACACAAAGCUCUUACUCGUCCCACCAAGUUAUGGGUCUUAUGGUUGAGCUAGAACUUUUUUUUUUUUUUUUUUGAGACAGAGUCUUGCUCUGUCGCCCAGGCUGGAGUGCAGUGGUGCGAUCUCGGCUCACUGCAAGCUCUGCCUCCCAGGUUCAUGCCAUUCUCCUGCCUCAGCCUCCCGAGUAGCUGGGACUACAGGCGCCCACCACCAUGCCCGGCUAAUUUUUUGUAUUUUUAGUAGAGACGGGGUUUCACCAUGUUAGCCAGGAUGGUCUCGAUCUCCUGACUUUGUGAUCCGCCUGCCUUGGCCUCCCAAAGUGCUGGGAUUACAGGUGUAAGCCACCAUGCCCGGCCUGAGCUAGAACUCUUAACACCAAGUUGUCCAGUGUUUCUCAAACCAUAUCCCAGAGAGCUAUUCUAGGGAUAUUAUCAGAUGUUACCAGGAGGAAAAAGGAAGAUCUUUUGGCUAAACACUGACUUCAUGAAAGCAACUCAAAGUCUUUGAUGGAGCGAAGUGUCAGUGUCUUUAACAUGCUCAUUAUGUAUCCUAAAUUUGAGAAGGAGGACUUGAUGUUCAGUGCAUCUCAAACAUAUUUUCACUACAGUUCUAUGGGACACACUUUGGCAAAAAGCUUAAUUGGCAUAAGUAUCCUUCUGGUACAUCGAACCAAGCUAUGGCAUUCUUGAAAAGCAGUCAGUCAGCCAAGACCCAGGGCUGAGAAAUGUUUAUUUAGACAAGUGAUUGGAUUUUCAUUCUUGUAUUAACGGCUGGACCCGUAAGCUUACAUUUUCCAGUCCCACAGAACUUACACAAGAGUCAGCCCACCAGAAAUCAUAUCUUUCUCCUCUCCAGUCUCCAACCUAUUCUAAGCAAAACAUUUCAAGUUUCUUCAAUUACAUCUCACAAGGCUGGUCACAAACUCCCUUCAUCUACCUAGAUAGUCUCUUUUAUUUCUUUUUUUGUAAUUUGAGGAGAACCAUAACAAAAUUUAAGUACUCCAAGUAUGGUGUCAUCAUCUCCUUCAUUUAGAUCCCAGACCUCUGUUAAUAUGACCUAAAAAGGAUUUAGCUUCUGUGUACAUGUCAAUGCACUUUUGAUUUACAUUGAGUUUUCUUUGAACAAAAAAACCCGUGUAUUCAUUUAACUCAUUGAAGCGUUUGCAAAAUUCA